UAGUAAUCCAUGUGUAGUAAU
ensembl:piRNA 21ur-11721 ncRNA